rnacentral:rRNA from 1 species
CACGUAGGGCGCGAGCGUUGUCCGGAAUUAUUGGGCGUAAAGAGCUCGUAGGCGGCCUGUUGCGUCCGCUGUGAAAGCCCGGGGCUUAACCCCGGGUCUGCAGUGGAUACGGGCAGGCUAGAGGUAGGUAGGGGAGAAUGGAAUUCCCGGUGUAGCGGUGAAAUGCGCAGAUAUCGGGAGGAACACCAGUGGCGAAGGCGGUUCUCUGGGCCUUACCUGACGCUGAGGAGCGAAAGCGUGGGGAGCGAACAGG